AUUGUUUUUCUCCUUUGGAUUUUCAGUAGAGAAAAAAAGUGCACAUGUUUUACUUUUUAUAUGCCUGCUGAUUUUCAAGGUUAAAAAAACCUGGAGAGAGAGAUGUAUAAAAAUCACCCAAGACGAAACCAAAACUUGGGGUCUCUGACUUCUAAGAUGUGAACGCAAUAUUGGCAAUCUAAAUUUAUCAACAGCCUAAUGUGACAGUCUCCAAAAAGGACUCCUUUAUU
rnacentral:lncRNA from 1 species